CAGGAUGAGUAUUGUUACUGGCCCGCGUGCAACCCGACAGCCAGAGCACGAAGAGGGGAACAACCUGAUCCUGAUACUUGGAUUUCCAGGAAAGUCAAGGUGUUUAGUGGUGUUACAGGUUUGUCCCAUGGACCACCAGAGGUGCCACUUUCAUGGAAAUCUUCUGCAGGACCAACACACCCUCCACCUCCCAUCUGCAUCUUUCCGCAGACAAACACUAUGAACAGUAAGUUAACAAUUGUUGCAUAAGCUUUGUCAAGUUGUGCGGAUCUAUAUUAAAAUAUACCUUAUGUUGAUAUUUUUUAUUUAUUUACACAGACCUUGAUCCAGUUAGUCCUAUUCAGCCUGAGAUGUCUGAUGAAACUGCCAGCUGCUCCUCAAGUGUGUCAGACUCUAUCUCCGCCUUAACCCAAACGGUUACAGUAAUACAAGAGACACUUAAGGCAAUGUUGACCCGCCAGGAUGUGAUGGCAAAAAACAUCCAGGAGAUCCUCCUCCGGUUAAACCAGACUGGAGGGGCCAGCCAGGGUCCGGAGACCCCAAUAGAAAUCGAUGUGGCCCAGUCUUUGGAAGAACUUGCUGUCUUGGAGGCAAAACUGAAAGAGCUU